AUGUAUUAUAGAUUGGUUAAAAAAAUUUUAAAUAUAGGGCGCGCUUGGUUCGCACUAUGAAAGAUUAGUAAGAGUAAAAAGAUAUCCGAGAAUUUUAUUCCUAUUCAUCUUAUUACUAAGAAUAUAGUAUUUCGGUGUUUGGUUCGUACGGUCAUAGUAUUUAGUCAUGUUACUUAAAAUUUCAAAAAAUAUAUAAUUAAUUAAUUAAUUAAUUAAAUUAAUUUUAAAUAGUACUAUAAAAAAAAUUCAACAUUUUUUUAGAAAAAAGAGAGAUAGAGAAUAUAUGUUAGAAAGAGAGAGCAUAAUUAAAAAAAUAGAAAGAGAAAUAAAGUCGAAGUUAGAGAGAAUGAGAGGGUUGAGAUUUAGAAAAAGAGGGAGAGAAAUAGCUUAAUUUAGAGAGAGAAAAAGAGUUGAAGUUUAGAAAGAAAAAGAUAAGUUUAGAGAGAGAUAUGAGGUUAGAGUGUAAAAUAAAAUAAUACCAACUAGCCGACGGAGGGGAAGAAAAAAAGAGAUUAGACAUAUUAUAAUUAGUCCAAUUCAUUAAUAUAAGGAUACCCACCGUCUCUCAAAGGAAUGAGAUUAGCACUUUGGGAUGCAUCUUAUUCUCAAGUAAAUCUAAUAUUACCAACUAGAUUACUUAGUGCGUUUAGUAAAACACCAUCAUAUUUUUUUAUUCCUAUUGAAUUACUAGAAAUCUUAAAAAGAUAGCGCGAACCAAACGCACCCAUAAUGCAUGUGUGGAGGGAUAUGUCAGGUUCAGGCAAUAUUGUCUCCUUCUACUUUCUUACCUCUCUGGCCAUCACUGUGAUUGACACCCUUUCCCCGCGCCACAUCCUAGCAACUGGCACCUCUCCUUUUUUCUCUCUUUGUCGACCUGAUACUUCGACACCUCCGACUUAGAUUUUUAUAGGUGUCAAUCCAAUCAACUGCAACUUCGAAGAGUCCAAAGCGAAGUGAAUCGCAGCAAUAGCGCCACGUUCUAGCGCACCGCUGCACUUCUUUCGAAGCCAUCGUCGUUGCCGCAGCCAAUGAAGAUGCUGAGAUGAGGCUCCCGCCAGAUUUGUCAAGGUCAACCACCGUAUCUGGGUGCAUUUGGUUCGCAUUAUAAAAGAUUACUAGGAAUAAAAGAUAUCCGAGAAUUUUAUUCCUAUUCAUCCUAUUACUAAGGAUGUGGAAUUCUUGUGUUUGGUUCGCACGGUAAUAUUAAUUAGCCAUGUUAUUUAAUAUUACAAAAAAAUACAAUUAAUUAAUUAAUUAAUUAAUUUAAUUUUAAAUAAUGUUAUCAAAAGUUUCAAGUUUUUUUAGAAAAUAGGGAGAGAGAGUAUAAGUUAGAGAGAGAGAGCAUAAUUAAAAAAAUAAAAAGAAAAAUAUAGUCGAAAUUAGAGAGAGUGAGAGAGUUGGAAUUUUAGAAAGAGAGAGAGAGAGAAAGUUUAGUUUAGAGAGAGAAAAAAAGUUGAAUUUUAGAGAGAAAAAUAAGUUUAGAGAGAGAUAUAAGGUUAGAGUGUAAAGAAAAAUAAUAUCAAUUAGCCGGCGGGUAGGAAGAAAGAAAGAGAUUAAACAUAUUAUGAUUAUUCCAAUCCAUUAAUAUGAGGAUACCCACCCUGAUCCCUCAAGGGAAUAAGAUUAGUACUUUGGGGUGAAUCUUAUUCCCAAGUGAAUCCAAUAUUACCAACUAGAUUACUUAGUGAGUUUAGCCAAAUACCGUCAUAUUUUUUUAUUUCUAUUGGAUUACUAGGAAUCUUUAAAAGAUAGCGCGAACCAAACAUACCCUAUAUGUUCUUUUUUUUUGUUGAUAAAA
rnacentral:lncRNA from 1 species